UAAAACCCAGAAGUGAUUCC
rnacentral:piRNA from 1 species